AGUCGUAACAAGGUCUCCGUUGGUGAACCAGCGGAGGGAUCAUUACCGAGUUAUCAACUCCCAAACCCCUGUGAACAUACCUUUUGUUGCCUCGGCGGGAUCGCCCCGGCGCCUCCGGGCCCGGAUCCAGGCGCCCGCCGCAGGACCCUAAACUCUUGUUUUCUAUAUGAAUCUUCUGAGUGACACAAGCAAAUAAAUUAAAACUUUCAACAACGGAUCUCUUGGUUCUGGCAUCGAUGAAGAACGCAGCGAAAUGCGAUAAGUAAUGUGAAUUGCAGAAUUCAGUGAAUCAUCGAAUCUUUGAACGCACAUUGCGCCCGGCAGUAUUCUGCCGGGCAUGCCUGUUCGAGCGUCAUUUCAACCCUCAAGCCCCCGGGCUUGGUGUUGGAGAUCGGCCCGCCCCCGUGGCAGGCCGGCUCCGAAAUCCAGUGGCGGUCCCGCCGUAACUUCCUCUGCGUAGUAGCAAUAUCUCGCACCGGAAAGCGACGGAGCCUUGCCGUAAAACCCCCAACUUCUGAAGGUUGACCUCGGAUCAGGUAGGAAUACCCGCUGAACUUAAGCAUAUCAAUAAGCGGAGGAA
rnacentral:misc_RNA from 1 species